ACUUUUUUAGCUCACCUGGCCCGAAGGGCCAAGUGAGCUUUUCUCAUCACUUGGCGUCCGGCGUCCGUCGUCGUCCGGCGUCGUCCGUCGUCCGUCGUCGUUAACUUUUACAAAAAUCUUCUCCUCUGAAACUACUGGGCCAAAUUUAACCAAACUUGGUCACAAUAAUCAUUGGGGUAUCUAGUUUAAAAAAUGUGUUCGGUUACCCGGCCAACCAACCAAGAUGGCCGCCAUGGCUAAAAAUAGAACAUAGGGGUCAAAUGCAGUUUUUGGCUUAUAACUCUGAAACCGAAGCAUUUAGAGCAAAUCUGACAUGGGGUUAAAUUGUUUAUUAAGUCAAGAUCUAUCUGCCCUGAAAUUUUCAGACGAAUCGGACAACCCGUUGUUGGGUUGCUGCCCCUGAAUGGGCAAUUUUAAGGAAAUUUUGCCGUUAUAUGGUUAUUAUCUUGAAUAUUAUUAUAGAUAGAGAUAAACUGUAAACAGCAAUAAUGUUCAGCAAAGUAAGAUUUACAAAUAAGUCACAUGACCAAAAUGGUCAGUUGACCCAUAUAGGAGUUAUUGCCCUUUAUAGUCAAUUUUUAACCAUUUUUUCGUAAAUCUUAGUAAUCUUUUACAAAAAUCUUCUCCUCUGAAACUACUGGGCCAAAUUUAUCCAAACUUGGCCACAAUUAUCUUUGGGGUAUCUAGUUUAAAAAAUGUGUCCGGUGACCCGGCCAACCAACCAAGAUGGCCGCCACGGCUAAAAAUAGAACAUAAGGG
rnacentral:lncRNA from 1 species